UUUCAUGGGGUGAUACGGCGAACGGCGGGAGAGGAAAAGAACUGCCGAGGAAUAGCGAUACCUCCGAUACACCUUAUAAAGGUUUUGAAAAUCGAGAAAGAACCUAUCUCUGCCGAAUCUGGCUGAAGCCGUGCUAUAUUUUUGGGUCCCUCUGUCGCCAAGCGCGGGUUUUUGGUGGCCAUCUUGGUCGGGGAUCAAGCCGCAGUGGCGCGCAUGCGUGACUGUCCUUGGCCGGGAAGUCGGAACAUCUUUCACAUGCUCAAAAUUCCCAAAGCGAUUGACAAAGAUGGAUUUUGGAAGGAAGAAUGAGGUCAGGUGAUGAACUCAACCACAACAGGAAGCUGCAGGAUAGUGUCAAGUGGAGAUUCAGAAAUUUCUCUCACGGGAGUACAGCUCACAGCAGUGUUCAACUCCUUGGCUGUUUUCUUUCUGUCUACUUCUGUCAAUGAGAAGUUCAUUUCCAAACAUCAGAUGCUGCCAUACCUACUGAGCUUUUCCAGCAACUUUUGUUUUUGUUCCUGUCUUUAUUUAUUGAUAUACUUUGGUUGAAAUGUAAGGCAAGACCUCUUAUCACUUACAGUUAUGAGCAAAAUAAAUUUUUCCAAUCCA